AUGGCUUCUUCCAUUGGUGCUUCCGGUCCUCGUGGUCUCGAGAAUAUCGAACCACUCACGGGAAACAACUUCCAAACUUGGAAGGACUCGUUGCUUUUGCAUUUGGGUUGGCAUGAGGUUGACCUUGCACUAAUGGAAAGUAAACCAGUGGAACCUAAAAAGGAUGCCACUGGGUAUGCUGAGCUUAAGAAAGCCUACGACACUAAAGUUGAGAAGUGGGAGAGGUCCAAUAGAAUGGCACUCCUAAUUAUGAACUUCUCCAUCUCCACUGAGAUUAAAGGGGCUAUUCCCCCUAAUGAAAGUGCUGCCGAAUAUUUGAAAUCGGUGGAAGAACAAUUUAAAGGCUCAGAGAAAGUGUAUGCAGAUGAGCUUUUACACAAGCUGCUUGCAAAAUAUGAAGGAAAUGGAAAUGUGAGGGAGCACAUUUUGAGCAUGAGCAAUGCCGCGGCAAAGCUUAAAACCAUGAAGUGUGAAUUAAGCGAAGAGCUUCUUGUGCUCUAG
rnacentral:rRNA from 1 species